AAAUAAAUAAAUAAAUAAAUCAAUCAAAAGGCUCAUUUCAAGGUGAAUUCGAGGAUUUAUUAAAUAUUGCUAAAUCAAUGUACAAUCUUGACAUAUGUUAAAUUAGAAUUAAACUUCAUAUCAUUUUCAUUAACAGUGCUAUUAAAUUCUAUUAUGCCUCUAGGGAAAGAAAGAAAGAAAGAAGAAAAAAAAAAAGAAGAAAGUAUCUCUAUACAAAGCGAAGGCUCGACAAUCUCAUACACAUCCUUUACUGAAAACUGGAAGUAAAGACGCGGCGACGGAGAGACACGGCAGGUCUGUAAGACGUGGUAGUGCAAGUAUCGUUCUGAGCGUUCACUGUCUCCGGUAGAGAUUAUCACGUCGUGCCGUGUUUACAGAAUGACUCGCCCGGGCGCCGAGGAAGGAGUCUCUCUCGUUCUUUCCCCGGGCCUCUCAGUGUCUCUCGACGCAGAACUCGCGCGAGCUCAGAGGCUAGAUACUAGAUCUAGAUACUCUAGAUACUAAAGCCGCUUAGAAUUAAAAACACUGCAACAAAGCUUACCGGUCUAAACAGAUUAAACGCAUUAAAUCUUAUCAUUUUUACCGUCUCAAAAAAAAAAAAAAAAAAAAAAAAAAAAAAAAGGUUAAUGGGCUUUUAUUAAUUUUCAGAACAGGCGAAAGACGAGACGAAGCAAAAAAAAAAAAAAAAAAAAAUUUAUAUAAGUAAAAAUUGUUUAAGGACUUUCCUAUAGAAAAGUUUGUGCCAUGGCGUAGUCGGUCCCUUUUAAAUGUUAUCCAUUACAUUUCUGAUAUAAAUAAAUGAAUAAAUAAGAAAAGAAAAGAAGCUGUCGGACGUUAGAACUCUCGCCAGGCCGACUCUACGAGCUUGACGCUACGAGUCUACGGCUACGAGUCACGAAGCUGCGAGAGAAAAGGGCGGGCGAGGUGAACAAGCGUUUAACACCAGAGACGACCGUGGUCUCUUUAAGACGCGUCGUACAGCUCGACGGGUUUGCAUAUUAAAGUGGUAAUAUUGCACAAAAUACAAAAAUAAGACAGAAAAUACUGCUUGCUAUUACCGGUUAGGAAUACAAAAAGAUGCCUCUUUAACACUUCUCCAAGCAGCAUCUAUAACUAGUCAUACUGUCCAGUGUAGCCCCGAAUUCAAGUGUCCCCCAUGUUAAUUACUGCCGUCGCGGAACGUUUGGCACCCAAACUGACCGAGGGACGGAGGGGCGCAAACUGGUGUCUGUUUAAGGACAUCCCCUUAUUUAGAUUAGAUGAGUGUGCAUAAAGUCUGGAAGGAGUUUCGCAGGUCUACUUCUAAGUGCAGCUGUGGAGCGUGGCAGUUCAAGGCCUGUGCUGAAGCUCACCUACACACACACACACACACGCACACACACACACGCACACACGCACGCACGCACUCAGGCAGGCUGUUGAGGGUUCACAUUCAUGUGUUGGGGAUGUCCGAGGAGUCCGAUCCUCUGCUUCUGCUUACGCUGUUCAGUCAUCUGUCAGGGCACACACAAACACACAGAGGGGUUUAAUCUUUGGCUGCCCGCACAACCUAACACACACACACACACACACACACACACACACGCACGCACGCACGCACGCACGCACGCACGCACGCACACACACUCCCCCCUUGUAUACACCAGGCACUUCCUGCAUGAAUGCAUCUGUUAAAUCUGUUCCUGUUCCCUUGGUACGAGUCCAGACUCUGCGUGUCUCUGUGUGUGCAUGUGCGUGUGUGUACCGUUGUGUGAGUGACUGUGUCACAAUCUCAAACGCUUAUAAACACACGAACGCGAUCACACACACAAAUCAAUCUAACAGAGAAAUGUAUCCUUUUGUCAUCUGUAAAAAUCCCCUAUUCUGACUCAACACGAACAAAAACAGGCUAAAAGCUACACGCACGCACGCACGCACGCACGCACGCACGAAGUCAGUGCCUACGGGAUCCAUCUUCGUACCGCCCGAGUAAAUCGUGGCCAUAUGAAUGUAAAUACAGACAGGCACACAGGAUACGGUGAUCACCCUUAACAGAUCGGAAGGAUUUGAAUUCGCUCGGGUUGCUCAACUCGAACGACAUUUUAAAUUUGGGGAAAACAAAAAAAAACAAAACAGAAGACAUUUGAUAGUCGUGUCACCAUGUAGGGGUGUGUGUGUGUGUGUGUGUGUGUAAUAACACACACCGGUACACACAGUGUCCCGUCGUCACCACGCGGUCCAUAAAGUCCGACAUGGCUUUUCCGGCGUCCCAUCCCUGAGGGAUUCCUGAUCAGGACGGCGCCGCGGUCCUGUUUCACAAUACGUCUUCACUGGUGUCUCCGCACGACGGCCAUCAUACAACGCGGACGAACGACGCUAGCCAGUCAGCUAUCGUUUGAUCACUUUUUACGGUCGGUGUCAAGGUCUCUCCAAUAAAACGCCACACUUCUUUACGAUCUCUCCGGGUGAGGACCGUCUCCAUGGUCACCUACACACCUGACCACACCUCUGGAAAGCAGCUCCACCCCAGAGGCUUCGAGUCGGAUCAAAGGUACGAUGGAGCUUUUACUUGUAAAGGGGUCAAUAUUUAAACACGGACGUGUACGUGCUUCGGAUCCAUCGUUUCGUUUCGUGUUCUUCGAUCCGUACCGAUUCGCGAGAUCACUUUCCUCGCUCUCUUAACGCACUAGAGGUUCGGAAAGGUCCGAUAAACUAAAAUUCGUUGUUUAUUUAUUUUUUAUAACGGAUCUUUUUAAAAAAUUUAUUUAUUUAUUUAUUUAUUUUUAUCGUUGACGUGCUUUAAAUGUCACUUUCCGGAUUUAGCUGCCUUUCCACAUUUUAUAAGCCAUUUAAUUUGAUAGAUAAUAUUCAUUAUAGAAGGUUAUUAUACAUCAAUGUACAGAUUCCAGGUCUCUGAGUAUGGCUAGAGAUCGUUCCGGGCUAAAAAUUCAAAUACGUUUCUAAAAAAAAAAAACCAAUAAAUUCCAGAGACAGACGUGUAAACUACUGUACAAGUGAAAGGCGAUGGGUUUUUUUUUUUUUUUUUUUGGACUGUUACUUGACCUUCUUUUGUUUCCCUUUGUCUGGGUGUCAAAAGCGGAUCUAGUUCCUCCUAUGCACUUCUCAUUUGUCAGUCUCCUAAUUACCAG
ensembl:lncRNA